rnacentral:lncRNA from 1 species
ACCCCUAGGUGCAGUUAUCGUGUGAUACAAUCUCUCUAUCAAGAGUCCCGACUAGAUGGAGGUCAUGGAGAACUCGUCAAACUCCAUCGUCAGUCAUAUGCUAGAUUGGUUCGACUCGAGUUUAUUUGUGAAUUCCAUGAAAAUUCUUUUCUAGUAUUUAUACUUAUUCUGGUCAGAGAUUUUUUUGAACUCAGUCUUACGAAUCACAUAGGACUUCUCCUUUUCUGUCAAGAUUGAUAGAUUCCAUCUAAGUGUGUCCUACUCCAAAUAGCGAACCUGAACCUUCAUAGCCAACAUACAUAGCAAGAACCCAUAUGGCUAGGGAUUAAGGGAACAUGUAGUCAAACUAUAUAGCCUCACUGUGAAUAGCCAAUACACCGCAAGUCAAAAAAUCAGUCACACCACUA